CGCUCGCGCCCCGCGCCUCCGUUUUCUUUCUCUCUCUCUCGCAGGUGGCUGCGCCAAAUCUCUCGCUGGCCCCAAUUCCCCACCCGCGUGCCCCCGGAGUCCGGAGAGGCGGUCCGCCGGGACCGUCGCCGCCGCGUGAGGCCGCCAGCUCGCGGACGUCCCCUGCUCGCCCCAAUCUCGCCGCUCCUGCUGCCCCCCCCCCCCCCCCCCCCCCCCCCCCAAUCCCGCUCGCCGCCGGCGCAGCCGUCGGGCCUACGGAGAGGCAUCAGAUUCGUUUUCGGCGGCCUGAAGUCACGCAAUCUGAGCACCCCCCACCUCCCCCCGGAUCUCGGAAGAAAGCAAAAAAAAAAAAAAGGAGCUCGCAAAUUAAUGGCGUGCUGAAGGUCAGGCGAAUUAAUCAUGGAGCUAAAUAAUGGUGACAAUCAGAUAUACAACGUGUGGACGUGCAGCACGCGGUGUUGGGGCUGAACCACAAGACGGUAUUCGGUGGACAUCUCCAGAAGAUGGAAGGAUCUGCUGAAACAACCGAAGACCCGACCCAAGGUCGGAAGGGCCCAAGGCCGAAAAUAAUAUUAACACUAACUUAGUGUUACCCUCAGGCAAGCACCGAUUUGGAUAAAUCCAGAAGGAAAACAAUUCUGCACUGCAUUCAAACAACUAAAGAAGCUAUCUCUACAUGGUAUUUUUGUUGAGUUUGACCUAUUAUGGACGAUAGUUCUCCUGGAAGCUGCACCUACUGUUGCAAUAUUUGAUAUCGAGAUAUGGGAACAUCCAUGCAUAAUUGAUGAUGAGGAAAGACGAAAGGUUUACGGUGACAGAAUAAAUCCUUCAUGGAAGAUGUUUGAAUUCAAAAGUUGUAAGGAAUGGGUAUUGAGAGAGGUUCAGAUUACUGGCUUUAGUCCAAUGGAGCAACAAAUGGUAUUUUUAAGGGCUGUGAUGGAGCGAGCUCGCAAAUUACAAAGGAUUAUUCUGAAUGAUUACCAGACUUGUGAUUACUGCGAGAAGAUAGGCGCAUUGCCUCGUUCUGAGAUAUUACCAGCAGAAUGUGUGUUUCCGAAGGGCAAGUAUGAGCAGGACUUAGUAGUUGAACAACUUAUCAGAGAUGAGUGCAGUGUUAAGAUAAUUUUUGGCGAUUAAAAAUUGUGGAACAUGUCAUGUGAUGUCAUCUUUUCAAAUAUUAUCAAUGUUCAUAGUACACUUUAUUGUAAAACUCUUAUUUUAUCUUUGUACCUGGCUCACAAGGUAAUAAUUUCAGAUCUGUAUGAAGGUUAGAGGUUUGUUUGACCGAUUGAAGCGUUGUUGUUCAGUGUUCCUUAGUUAAACUUAUGAACCUGCACUAGGUUUAAGUCUAUAUCUACUAUUUUCUGCAGUUGUGGUAUAUCAACAGAUAUUACCUCAACGCAGAUUAUCUAAUGUAA